rnacentral:lncRNA from 1 species
UGCGGCCUGCCCCUCAGCCUCCUCCGCGCGGUUACCCCUGUACCCGCCGCCAUCCGUCCUGGCGCUCCGGAUGAGUCAAUGAGGGGCAGGGCCCGAGGAGUGGUCUUCCCAAGAACCCCUGGUGGCCUCCCAAGGCCGGUGCUGUGUACCUCCUCCCCGACAAAAGGGGAAACUGAGGCCCCGAGGGGAGUGGGAAGAGCCGGCUGGACGUCAGGCCCAGCCGCUGGUGCAGUGGUCCGUCCCCUCUGCCGGGGUGGGCCCCUCGGGUUUCGCGUGUCCUCGGGAAAGAGACUGGCGGGUGCCUCGUGGGCUGUGCGGCUAUCCUGGAGACAGAUGACAGCUCUCCCUUGGAUGGCUUUGCUGGUUCCGCACCAGCCAGCGCCCCCAUUUUUCCUGCAGCACCCUGAUCUGCACUCCCUGAGGGGCUCCCACUGUCCGCGGUGUGAGGAUGUCCCUGGGUAUAGUCCACUGUGUGCAGAGGCAUGGGAGUUGUCAUGUUGGGAACAUGCUAGACCUCAGUAUCCUUGAGCUUGAAGAAAGACGACAGAACACUGGAGACCAAGUACUUACAGCCUUCUGCUCUGUGGCCCCUCCUCACUCCAGGGAUGCUGCCUUGGGUCUGGAAACUGUUAGAGGAAACCCCAAGAGGUGCAGGCACUGAGCCUCUCAGGACAAUGACCUGGGGUCCCAGCUCCCCUGGAGGGGCCUCCUCAUGGUAUUGUUUGGGGGUUGAUCACAGACCAAGAGUGACGAGUGAUGUCACCCUGUGACUCAUGGCUGGACCUUCUUGCCCCUAUUGUCUCAGCACAACAUUAUUCGACUUUUCCCUCAGCGUGGGUGGGCAGAGGAAAAGCCCUGUGGCUCUGGGGACUUGGGAUCCAGAGUUGAAGACCCUUCAGCUGGCUCUGCCCUGCCAGUGCCACAGAGUGCCAUGGCCCAGGAAGACAGGUUUUCUUCCAUCUAGGCCAGGCCAUCCAGUGGCCAUCCUCCGUGUCCUCCCGCCUCCUCCUGGUGUGACUUCUGAAAACCAAGAAUUUGUUCCUGUUGACUUUUUCUGUGCUAUGGACCAUUGUCCUCUCACCCACUCAAUAAAUCUUGAAACAUGCCCUG